rnacentral:rRNA from 1 species
AAUAGAUACCCGGGUAGUCCACGCCGUAAACGUUGGGCGCUAGGUGUGGGGUCCGUUCCACGGGUUCCGUGCCGCAGCCAACGCAUUAAGCGCCCCGCCUGGGGAGUACGGCCGCAAGGCUAAAACUCAAAGGAAUUGACGGGGGCCCGCGCAAGCGGCGGAGCAUGCGGAUUAAUUCGAUGCAACGCGAAGAACCUUACCAAGGCUUGACAUGGGCGGUAAUCCGGUAGAGAUGUCGGGUCCGUAAGGGCCGUUCACAGGUGGUGCAUGGUUGUCGUCAGCUCGUGUCGUGAGAUGUUGGGUUAAGUCCCGCAACGAGCGCAACCCUUGUUCCAUGUUGCCAGCACUUCGGGUGGGGACUCAUGGGAGACUGCCGGGGUCAACUCAGAGGAGGGUGGGGAUGACGUCAAAUCAUCAUGCCCCUUAUGUCUUGGGCUUCACGCAUGCUACAAUGGCCAGUACAAAGGGCUGCGAGACCGUGAGGUGGAGCGAAUCCCAAAAAGCUGGUCUCAGUUCGGAUCGGGGUCUGCAACUCGACCCGUG